rnacentral:lncRNA from 1 species
GAGCCGUAAAGGAAGCAUGCAUGUGAGCCGAUAUAGCCUGCACCUCACUAUACAUGAGUGACCCCUGGUUCAGAGACAGAAAACUGGCCCAAAAAAGAAGAAGCAGAAUCACCAAAUUGAAUAGAAGGGUAAGAUGGAUGUUGAUUUGAAUACCAAAUAAUAGCAAAAAAAGAAAAAAAAAAUUUAAACUGAAAAUAAUACAUCCUAUCUUUUAUAAAUUCCCCCUUGUAAAUCCUUAUAGUUUUCUUUCAUCUAUUUUCUUUCUUUCUUUCUUGUAUCCCUCUG